rnacentral:rRNA from 1 species
AUUGAACGCUGGCGGCAUGCCUUACACAUGCAAGUCGAACGGCAGCACGGGGGGUAACCCCUGGUGGCGAGUGGCGAACGGGUGAGUAAUAUAUCGGAACAUGCCCUGUAGCGGGGGAUAACGCGUCGAAAGAUGUGCUAAUACCGCAUACGCUCUACGGAGGAAAGCGGGGGUUUUCGGGCAACUGAGGACCUCGCACUAUAGGAGUGGCCGAUAUCGGAUUAGCUAGUGGCGGGGUAAAAGCCCACCAAGGCGACGAUCCGUAGCUGGUCUGAGAGGAUGAUCAGCCACACUGGAACUGAGACACGGUCCAGACUCCUACGGGAGGCAGCAGUGGGAAUUUUGGACAAUGGGCGCAAGCCUGAUCCAGCCAUGCCGCGUGAGUGAAGAAGGCCUGGUUGUAAG